rnacentral:rRNA from 1 species
GGAUUAGAUACCCUGGUAGUCCACGCCGUAAACGAUGAGAACUAGCUGUUAGUCUCUUAAGAGAUUAGUAGCGUAGCUAACGCGUUAAGUUCUCCGCCUGGGGAGUACGGCCGCAAGGUUAAAACUCAAAGGAAUUGACGGGGGCCCGCACAAGCGGUGGAGCAUGUCGUUUAAUUCGACGCAACGCGAAGAACCUUACCUGGGCUUGACAUCCUGCGAACUUGACAGAAAUGUCUUGGUGCCUUCGGGAGCGCAGUGACAGGUGAUGCAUGGCUGUCGUCAGCUCGUGCCG